CUGGACUCGCAAGUCUGGAGGCGACUAUCUUCCUUUUCUCUGUCGGCAACAGGUAAGUGUGUAGGGUUUUAUAUUUUUGUCUUAAAAAAUUUUAAAAAAAAGGGUUCUGCUUUAUUUUAAAGAGGCGAUGCCUCUCGCCUGCUUGGUUUCUCGCCUCGUUGCCCUGAAGCAUCGACUCUGAAGGUGCCAAGAGGGGUAACCCAGUCGAGGCGGCAAAGGGGCGCCUCGCCUGGGCGCCUCCCACG
rnacentral:misc_RNA from 1 species